UACGUAGGGUGCAAGCGUUGUCCGGAAUUAUUGGGCGUAAAGAGCUCGUAGGCGGCUUGUCACGUCGACUGUGAAAACCCGGGGCUCAACUCCGGGCCUGCAGUCGAUACGGGCUGGCUUGAGUGCGGUAGGGGAGACUGGAAUUCCUGGUGUAGCGGUGAAAUGCGCAGAUAUCAGGAGGAACACCAAUAGCGAAGGCAGCUCGCUGGGACGGUACUGACGCUAAGGCGCGAAAGCGUGGGGAGCGAAACAGG
rnacentral:rRNA from 1 species